GUAACAUACCAGAUUUUGGUAUAAAAAUAAAAAUAAAUAAAAAUAGUGUGAGAAACUAUUUUUAUUGAAUUUCGAAAAGUAAAAUAUAAGUCAGAAGUGACUUGUGCUGAAAUCGGAAUGAAAACAGAAGAUUUAGAAUUUUCUGUUGGAAACGGGACAGAUAAAUUAGCAGAAAAUGCACAGUCUCAGAAAAUUAUAAAAACUGGAGGAUAAGCUAGAAUUAUUUUUAUGAGGCUAGAUUUAAAGUUUCAUGUCAUUCUGACACCCGGAAGGUGGAAAAUAAAAUCUGACAACUAUCUAAUAAAGAUUACAGUUCGGUACAGUUUUCGGUUACCAAACGGGGUC
rnacentral:lncRNA from 1 species